GAAAGAAAUGGUCUUGCAGCCAGCUGGCCCCGUGAGCAAAUGUGAAGGUGUUAAACUGAAGGGUCUGUGGAGUACACGGAGGACAGCAAGAAGCUGCUGGGCUUCUACUCACCUCUGGUCAUGACUGAGCUGUCAGGCAGGUGAGUGGUUGUUCACUCCUGGAUAUAAUUUGCUGUAACAAUCAAAUUAGGAAGGAGCAGUGGUUUGAAGCGUUCUGGGCAGGUUUGUGCACCAUAGGAUUCACCAGUCACUGAGCUGGGACAUGUUUUCCCUUCAUGGUGUGCUUCUUUAAUGGGACUUGAACAGUGGUCUGAGCUCAGCGUCUGCUCAUCUCUCUGAAUCCUCCUUUUAACAAAGCUGUACUGUUGGGCUGUGGCAGUAUUUUCCAGAUGACUUCUCAGCAGCAUCAGACAAGUCUCCGUUAUUCCCUGGGAUUUUGCAUGCCUCUGUUCCAGCCCCUUGGCUCCAUUAGAGCCGUCCUCCUUCCAGAAGUGCCGGUGUCCAUGAAGAAGGCUGCACUGGAUCUUCAGUGUCCUUACCUGCCCCUGCUGACUCCCUGCUGAGGAGCUGCUCUGCUUUUUGCUGUCACUGGCUUGUGACAUACCUGAUGGGCUGAAACUGCCCCCUGCAACCUUCAAUCUGUUUGAGCAGACACUCCUGGAGACUGUUUGGAGACAGGAUGGGAGGAAAGUGCAGCUCCUAGGAGGGACAUGCCAGUGCCUGAGGUAGCUUGUCUGCAUGUGUUGUAAGGGUCCUGUGGAGAAGCUUCCAUUGGCAAG